GGUGAUGGUGGGUGGUCUU
rnacentral:misc_RNA from 1 species